rnacentral:rRNA from 1 species
UACGGAGGGUGCGAGCGUUGUCCGGAAUCACUGGGCGUAAAGGCGCGUAGGCGGCUCAUGAAGGCUGUGGUGAAAGUCCGGGGCUCAACCUCGGAUCGGCCGUGGCGACUCGUGGGCUGGAGCACUGUAGAGGCGGGUGGAAUUCCGGGUGUAGCGGUGGAAUGCGUAGAGAUCCGGAAGAACACCAGUGGCGAAGGCGGCCCGCUGGGCAGUGGCUGACGCAGAG